UACGUAGGGGGCAAGCGUUGUCCGGAUUUAUUGGGCGUAAAGAGCGUGUAGGCGGCCAGGUAGGUCCGUUGUGAAAACUGGAGGCUUAACCUCCAGCUGUCGAUGGAAACCAUCUGGCUAGAGUCCGGAAGAGGAGAGUGGAAUUCCUGGUGUAGCGGUGAAAUGUGUAGAGAUCGGGAGGAACACCGGUGGCGAAGGCGGGUCUCUGGGCAUUUCCUGACGCUGAGGCGCGAAAGCGUGGGGAGCAAACGGG
rnacentral:rRNA from 1 species